rnacentral:rRNA from 1 species
CUGGUGAGUAACGCGUGAGGAACCUGCCUUUCGGAGGGGGACAACAGUUGGAAACGACUGCUAAUACCGCAUGAUACAUUUGGGCCGCAUGGUCUGAAUGUCAAAGAUUUAUCGCCGAAAGAUGGCCUCGCGUCUGAUUAGCUAGUUGGUGGGGUAACGGCCCACCAAGGCGACGAUCAGUAGCCGGACUGAGAGGUUGGCCGGCCACAUUGGGACUGAGAUACGGCCCAGACUCCUACGGAAGGCAGCAG